rnacentral:tRNA from 1 species
GCAGAGGUGGUUCAGUGGUAGAAUUCUCACCUUCCACGUGGGAGACCUGGUUUCAAUUCCUGGCCAAUGUA